CAGACGCUUAACCAACUGAGCCACUCAGGCAUCCCUGGAAGUUUGUACGUUUUGACCAUCUUCACUCAUCCCUCCACAAUCCCUUGCUCCUGGCAACCACCAGCCUACUCCCUUUUUCUAUGAGUUUGGUUUUAACCACAGACUUUUGAAACCAUAAUCUACAUAUGCUAUGUCUACAUUUGCUAUGUCUUAAAACCAUAAUCUACAUUUCUCGAUUAUCGUCCCUCCUUAGCCCCUUCUCAUCUGACUUCUGCCUCUGUCACUUUAUUUGAAUGUGAGAUUGCUCUCUUCCCCUCUAACAUCAAACCCGUUGCUGUUUGCAGCUCGAAGAGCUAAGUACCUCUUUUCGAAGCACAGCUCCUGGUUUUUAGUUCCGUGUCUGUCUCUUAUCACUGCUUCUUCUUGUCUCCUUCAUAGACUUCUCUCUGCCCACCCGUUAAAUACCCGUGAAGUCAGGAUUCUCUCCCGGUACCCCCUCCUCAUCCUUCUCGCCUCCUUGGCCACCUUACCUUCUCCUAGGACUCCCGUCCACAUGCUGACCACCUCUCCAUUCCCUGCCUCCUCCACCUCUCUCCUAAGCCUGACCCUGAACUGCCAACACCCUUCUAGCAAUUGCCAAGUCACUAUUUACUGUCCUCGGAACUAUCUUCUAUCCAAAAUACCUCAUCUUAAUAAAACAAACAAAAAAUACCCCAUCUGAAGUAGAGGGCCUAAAAUGAAAUCCUCCGUGCCCCAGUGAUACUCUUUUUCUCCUCUAUGUAAGUUUCGAGUCUUUGUUGCUGCAUAACCAUCCCAAAACUUAAUGGCUUAAAAUAACAAUAAUUUAUUAUUUCUCACAAUUCUGUGGGCUCAGCUGGGGCUGGAGUGUUCAAGAUAGCCUCCCUCCCACGUCUGGAGCCUUAGUGCUAGCUGUUGGCUGGUGUACCUAGCUUCUCCUGGUGGUCUCUCCCUCAUGCUUGGUCUCUUAGCCUGUGGUGGUUGAACUUCAACUUUGCAUGGUGCCUGACUUCCAAAGGGGUAUAAGCAGAGGCCACUAGGCCCAUUUAGGCUUGGACCAAAUCGGUACAGUGUCACUUCUAGUGCAUUCUUUUGGUCAAAGCAAAUCACAAAGCCACGGCAGAUUCAAGGGGAGGAGAAACAUACUCCGCCUCCUGGUGGGUGGGGCCGGAGGCCUCUAGAGAGAGAUGGAAGAAAUGGGCCACCAUCUUUGAGGGUAAUCCGCCAUGCUAUAUAAUAGAAAUUGUUCUGCUAACUCUUACAUGACAUUCACCAUGUGCCAGGCAGUGGCUGAACAUUUACAUGUAUUAUCUUAUUUAGUCUUAACAUUCCUGCGAGGUAGGAACUACUGCUGUCUCCAUUUAACAGACGAACAAUUGAAGAAAUGACAGUGAUUUCCUCAGGACCAAGACCUAGCAAGUGGCAGAGCUAAGAUUUGAAUCGAGCCAUCCUGGUUCCCAAGUCCAAGCUUUUAACACCACCUGACUGUGCUCCCAACGCCACAUCGGAUUGUUGUGAUGUUAAGUAAUGUGUGGGAAAAGUACCAACUAUUGGGCAGACCUAUGGUAGACUGUCAGCUAUUGCCAGGUCUCUUUCUGCCUGCCAGUUGCUGGACCUUUGUGCCAGAACAUUUUUCAGUCCUCAAGGUUACAGUCAAAAAAGUUUGAGAAGAUGGUUUUGUUGGG